rnacentral:lncRNA from 1 species
UUUGCACCUGCAAAGUGCAAAUUUAGCAGGACCCUCUCUAGACUCUGGUGCUGAAGUGCGAACCGGACACAUUCAACUGUACUUAACGCGGUGAGAGCUAUUCAGUCUUUUCUGCUCCACAGACAGACUCUUACCUCCUUUCCAAAAUGGGACCCUCCUGAUCUGCACUGCCAGGCAUCUUCAAGCAUUUAGACUUUGCACCUGUGCAGAGAAAAAAGUACAUAUUAGUGAAACCAAAUGUCACUGGCAGUCAACUGGCACUGAUUUAAUCACAUCUCUGAGAAAGUUUGCAUCAUUUAACAAUUUUGCACAUUAUUUGCUUUUUGUAAAUGGCCAGAUUAAUUCAAGAUGAAGUUCUUUUUCUUUACUAUUCCUUUGGCUGCUUUCCACCUGCUGUCUCUGUUUGGUGCCAGUGCUUUUCAGAUCAGUGAUGAUAUUAAUUAUUCACCAGCUUCUCUUCACUGCACACCUAGAUUGACUGAAAUAUCUACAAUUUAAGAGCUUGUCAUUUGUCACAAGUGAAACCUUUGAGCAGUUUUCUAAAUAAUGCUCCUGUGGGGGGAAAAAAGUUAAGCUGACGUCCAAAAAAUGUCAAGAGAGGUUCUUACGGGCUUUACAUUUACAUAAACACACACUCUGCUCCUUUCUCUGUUUGUCUUUCAGUGUCUUUCACUCGUCCACCCACAAAGCCGUCGCGUUUGAGCCCAUCAAAGGUGGUCUCUCCCUCGCUGAUUUUCAGAGGUCAGGGGCGUGAUGUCCAUCCACAACUCCUGGUUUCACAAAAGCACAUGCAAGAAUUGCGUUUGGACAAUCAGCUCCGGACCUCCAUCCUUUCUUGGUCAUUGGCAGGUAACCAAAUAUCCGACUCAGUAUAAAGGACAUGAAGUUGUUUCUAACUUGGCAGCUCACACAGCUCACUUUGUCCCAGCAGCUCCCUCACCUUCACAAAAUGCAGUCAGAAAACUUAUCAGCUGAAGUGCUGUCUCUCCUACUGCCUGCGUGAGAGAAAGGACAAUACUUUGACCCGAUGAUGUCUGAAGUUCAUGUGUAAAAAUGCCUUAAACUACUUUUUUUCUCCACGUUCCCAUGAAAAAGAUUUUAAAAUGAAAGUUUGGAAUGUGAAAAAUAUCAAAUGUUUGAUUUCAUAGAUUAAAGUCACAGUUAACACAUUUUAAGUAACACCUAAAAACACCUAUGUGAGACUGAGGCCUUUACCAUAGUUUUUAUUACUAUUUAUCUUUUAAAAGUGAGACUGUAGGCUAUGACAACAAAAGGUGUCUGAUAAUAAAGCUGGUAAUGAUAAAAUGAGAGCUACACCACGACGGAUACACUAAUACUGUUAUUAAAACUGGAUCAUGUUCAUAACCAGGGACAAAAAUGCAUUAGACUAGUUUCAGUACAGACACGAAGGAAAAAGUUUGCAUGAGUUGAGAUGCUUUUGUAGUUGUGGCUCUUUUAAAAACACACUGUUGCUCUCCUGGCCUUCAACCCAGUGUGAGCUGUCUGUGAUCUUAUGUUACUUUUAUGUACUCGUUUAUUGUUUAACUUCUACAAGUAAAACAUUGUACAGCUAACUAAUCAGUUGUUCUUGCAAAAUAUACCCACUCACGUACCUGCCAGACUGAAUGAUGUGAACAUACAGUCUACAGGUCAGAACUGG